rnacentral:rRNA from 1 species
CNCNCUAACCAUGUGACCAUACCAAACUGUUGCCUCGGCGGGGUCACGCCCCGGGUGCGUCGCAGCCCCGGAACCAGGCGCCCGCCGGAGGGACCAACCAAACUCUUUUCUGUAGUCCCCUCGCGGACGUUAUUUCUUACAGCUCUGAGCAAAAAUUCAAAAUGAAUCAAAACUUUCAACAACGGAUCUCUUGGUUCUGGCAUCGAUGAAGAACGCAGCGAAAUGCGAUAAGUAAUGUGAAUUGCAGAAUUCAGUGAAUCAUCGAAUCUUUGAACGCACAUUGCGCCCGCCAGUAUUCUGGCGGGCAUGCCUGUCCGAGCGUCAUUUCAACCCUCGAACCCCUCCGGGGGGUCGGCGUUGGGGAUCGGGAACCCCUAAGACGGGAUCCCGGCCCCGAAAUACAGUGGCGGUCUCGCCGCAGCCUCUCCUGCGCAGUAGUUUGCACAACUCGCACCGGGAGCGCGGCGCGUCCACGUCCGUAAAACACCCAACUUCUGAAAUGUUGACCUCGGAUCAGGUAGGAAUACCCGCUGAACUUAAGCAUAUCAAUAA